ACUUUAAUAGCUUAUUUUUAGAGCGUGAUAUUGAAGAUAUCAAAGAGAUUUUGAAUCUUAAAGUA
rnacentral:tRNA from 1 species